rnacentral:rRNA from 1 species
CCUACGGGUGGCAGCAGUGGGGAAUAUUGGACAAUGGGGGAAACCCUGAUCCAGCGACGCCGCGUGAGUGAAGAAGUAUUUCGGUACGUAAAGCUCUAUCAGCAGGAAAGAAAAUGACGGUACCUGACUAAGAAGCCCCGGCUAACUACGUGCCAGCAGCCGCGGUAAUACGUAGGGGGCAAGCGUUAUCCGGAUUUACUGGGUGUAAAGGGAGCGUAGACGGCAGCGCAAGUCUGGAGUGAAAUGCCGGGGCUCAACCCCGGAACUGCUCUGGAAACUGUGAAGCUGGAGUGCAGGAGAGGUAAGCGGAAUUCCUGGUGUAGCGGUGAAAUGCGUAGAGAUCAGGAGGAACACCGGCGGCGAAGGCGGCUUACUGGACUGUAACUGACGUUGAGGCUCGAAGGCGUGGGGAGCAAACAGGAUUAGAUACCCGGGUAGUC